rnacentral:misc_RNA from 1 species
GAUGAAGAACGUAGCGAAAUGCGAUAAGUAAUGUGAAUUGCAGAAUUCAGUGAAUCAUCGAAUCUUUGAACGCACAUUGCGCCCGCCAGUAUUCUGGCGGGCAUGCCUGUUCGAGCGUCAUUUCAACCAUCAAGCCCUGCUUGCGUUGGGGUCCUGCGGCUGCCCGCAGGCCCUGAAAACCAGUGGCGGGCUCGCUAGUCACACCGAGCGCAGUAAUACAUCUCGCUUUGGGCGUGCGGCGGGUUCUUGCCGUUAAACACCCCCUUUUUACCAAGGUUGACCUCGGAUCAGGUAGGAAUACCCGCUGAACUUAAGCAUAUCAAUAAGCGGGA